rfam:Colletotrichum gloeosporioides Nara gc5 unplaced genomic scaffold scaffold548, whole genome shotgun sequence.
GGCCUGCCAGCUUAAUUGGCAGAGCUCCCCUCUAGCUAAGGGGAAGGUCCGGGUUCGAAUCCUGGGCGGGUCG